AGAGUUUGAUCCUGGCUCAGGAUGAACGCUGGCGGCGUGCCUAAUACAUCCAAGUCGAACGAAGAGCUAGUAAUAGUUCUUAGUGGCGAACGGGUGAGUAACGCGUUGGUGACCUGCCCCGAAGAAUGGGAUAACAGCUUGAAAGGGCUGCUAAUACCAUAUGUGGUCAUAGAGGUUAGAGGCUUUAUGACGAAAGGGAGAAAUCCGCUUCGGGAGGGGCCUGCGUCCCAUCAGCUAGUUGGUAAGGUAAUGGCUUACCAAGGCGAAGACGGGUAGGGGACCUGAGAGGGUGACCCCCCACACUGGCACUGAAACACGGGCCAGACACCUACGGGUGGCAGCAGUAGGGAAUAUUGCACAAUGGGCGAAAGCCUGAUGCAGCAACGCCGCGUGCGCGAAGAAGGCCUUCGGGUUGUAAAGCGCUUUUCGGGGAGAUGAGGAAGGACAGUAUCCCCGGAAUAAGGCUCGGCUAACUACGUGCCAGCAGCCGCGGUAAAACGUAGGAGCCAAGCGUUAUCCGAAUUCACUGGGCGUAAAGCGCGUGCAGGCGGCUCGGUAAGUUGGAUGUGAAAGCUCCCGGCUCAACUGGGAGAGGACGUUCAAUACUGUCGGGCUAGAGGAUGGUAGAGGGAGGUGGAAUUCCCGGUGUAGUGGUGAAAUGCGUAGAUAUCGGGGGAACACCAGUGGCGAAGGCGCUUAGCUAGAACGGAUCCGACGGUGAGGGAUGAAAGCCAGGGGAGUGAAGCGGAUUAGAUACCCAUGUAGUCCUGGCUGUAAACGAUGCCCAUUAGGCAUUGGCGUUCUUAAGGGGGACGCCAGAGUCGUAGGGAAACCGUUAAAUGGGCCACCUGGGGAGUACGGUCGCAAGGCUGAAACUUAAGGGAAUUGGCGGGGGAGCACACAAGGGGUGGAGGCUGCGGUUUAAUUCGAUUCAACGCGGGGAACCUUACCAGAAGCGAGAGCAGGAUGAAGGUCAGGCUGAUGGUCUUACCAAACGCGCUCAGCGGUGGUGCACGGCCGUCGUCAGUUCGUGUCGUGAGAUGUCCUGUUAAGUCAGGUAACGAACAAGACCCGUGCCCUAUGUUACUAUCGUUUCUUUCCGGAAGCGAGUACUCAUAGGGGACCGCUGUUGAUAAAACAGAGGAAGGUGCGGUCGACGGCAGGUCCGUAUGCUCCUAAUCUUCUGGGAUACACGCGGCCUACAAUGGCCGGAAUAAUGGGAUGCAACGCCGAAAGGCGACGCUAAUCCUUAAAUCCGGCCUCAGUUCAGAUUGAGGGCUGUAACUCGCCCUCAUGAAGCCGAAAUCCCUAGUAGUCGCUGGUCAUCAUCUAGCGGCGAAUAUGUUCCUGCUCCUUGCACACACUGCCCGUCAAGCCAACCGAGUGGAAUUUUGGCAAGCUCUUGCUUUUUGGCAGGAUCGAGCCACAGUUUUGCAAGGUGGGCUAAGUCGUAACAAGGUAGCCGUACGGGAACG
rnacentral:rRNA from 1 species